rnacentral:rRNA from 1 species
GACGAACGCUGGCGGCGUGCUUAACACAUGCAAGUCGAACGGAAAGGCCCUGCUCUUGUUGGGUGCUCGAGUGGCGAACGGGUGAGUAACACGUGAGUAACCUGCCCUUGACUUUGGGAUAACUUCAGGACACUGGGGCUAAUACCGGAUAGGAGCUCCUGCUGCAUGGUGGGGGUUGGACAGUUUCGGCGGUUGGGGAUGGACUCGCGGCUUGUCAGCGUGUUGGUGGGGUAGUGGCUUACCAAGGCUUCGACGGGUAGCCGGCCUGAGCGGGUGAGCGGCCCCGUUGGGACUGAGACGCGGGCCAGACUCCGAGGGGAGGGCACAGUGGGGAAUAGUGCGAAGUGGGGGGGAGCCUGAUGCAGCAACGCCGCGUGGGGGGUGACGGCCUUCGGGUUGUAAACCGCUUUCGCCUGUGACGAAGCGUGAGUGACGGUAAUGGGUAAAGAAGCACCGGCUAACUACGUG